AAACCAGCACCUCAAGUGGUCAGGAUGAUUAUUGGGCCUAAAGCAUCCGUAGCCUGUUCUGUAAGUUUCCGGUUAAAUCCAUUAGCUCAACUAAUGGGCCGCCGAAAAUACUGUAGAACUAGGGAGUGGGAGAGGUAGACGGUAUUCGGUAGGAAGGGGUAAAAUCCUUUGAUCUAUUGAGGACCACCUGUGGCGAAGGCGGUCUACCAGAACACGUUCGACGGUGAGGGAUGAAAGCUGGGGGAGCAAACAGGAUUAGAAACCCCGGUAGUCC
rnacentral:rRNA from 1 species